rnacentral:rRNA from 1 species
UGGUGGAGUGAUUUGUCUGGUUAAUUCCGUUAACGAACGAGACUUUGCCCUGCUAAAUAGUCACUUUAGUUUCGGCUAUAGCUAGACUUCUUAGAGGGACUUUACGCGCCCAGCGUAAUUAAGUUCAAAGCAAUAACA